CUAGUGUGUGGAGGUGAGCUCCAGGAUUGCGUGGUUGCCUCAUGCUGCAGGCUGCGGCCGUCAGCCCCCACUCGCAUUGGUGGCGCUGAGGUGCCGGGGCAGCAAGCGACAUGUCGUCGGGCCUCCGCGCCGCUGACUUCCCCCGCUGGAAGCGCCACAUCUCGGAGCAACUGAGGCGCCGGGACCGGCUGCAGAGACAGGCGUUCGAGGAGAUCAUCCUGCAGUAUAACAAAUUGCUGGAAAAGUCAGAUCUUCAUUCAGUGUUGGCCCAGAAACUACAGGCUGAAAAGCAUGACGUACCAAACAGGCAUGAGAUAAGUCCUGGACAUGAUGGCACAUGGAAUGACAGUCAGCUACAAGAAAUGGCCCAACUGAGGAUUAAGCACCAAGAGGAACUGACUGAAUUACACAAGAAACGUGGGGAGUUAGCUCAAUUGGUGAUUGACCUGAAUAACCAAAUGCAGCGGAAGGACAGGGAGAUGCAGAUGAAUGAAGCAAAAAUUGCAGAAUGUUUGCAGACUAUCUCUGACCUGGAGACGGAGUGCCUAGACCUGCGCACUAAGCUUUGUGACCUUGAAAGAGCCAACCAGACCCUGAAGGAUGAAUAUGAUGCCCUGCAGAUCACUUUUACUGCCUUGGAGGGAAAACUGAGGAAAACUACGGAAGAGAACCAGGAGCUGGUCACCAGAUGGAUGGCUGAGAAAGCCCAGGAAGCCAAUCGGCUUAACGCAGAGAAUGAAAAAGACUCCAGGAGGCGGCAAGCCCGGCUGCAGAAAGAGCUUGCAGAAGCAGCAAAAGAACCUCUACCAGUCGAACAGGAUGAUGACAUUGAGGUCAUCGUGGAUGAAACCUCUGAUCACACAGAAGAGACCUCUCCUGUGCGAGCCAUCAGCAGAGCAGCCACGUAAGUAGGCAGGUUUGGGCCAGGGAAAAGACAGCUUGAGGAGCAAUACGAAGGCACAUCUGUGGACAUGACAAAGAAUGCAGUCAGAUGCACCCAACCCCCUACCCCUUUGCUGGGACACCCAGCGUCGAACACACCACAGAGGUGUCCAGUCUUUCUCAGUUCACCUCUGCUUAAUGGGAGGGAAGCAGAACACAGGUGGCUUCAAAUGCUUCUAAAUUCAAAAAAAUGUAGUGGCUUACUAAAAUAUGGACAGUGAAACCUUAUUAAGCAGAAUGAUUGUUUAGGUUUAGAUCAUCCUGUUUCAUUCUUACUAGGGCUUCCCCCAGACCCCACCGCCCUUCAAGAGUGGGGAUUGGUUACUAACACUCAGAAAUUGUGAAGUUAGUUAGCCAGGAAUUGUGAGGUUAGUUGUCUAAUGCUUUAUUUCCAGGGAAAUUAAUUUAAUACCAGGGAACCUUGUUUCUUUUGAAACUUCUAGGCUGGGUUUUCCCUUUUCCCUUCCCACUAUUUUCUGGCAGUUUGGUACUGUGUUGGGUUUCUCUUGGCUGGGGUUUGGGAACUACAUGGGAAACAUAUUCCCAGGUACCUGUUUUUGUGGGCUGUUUAUUGAUUGAUUAUUUGGGCAAAAUGUUUCUAAGGUUUAAACCUAUCCUCCCCUCCUCUUUAGUAAGCGACUCUCACAGCCUGCUGGAGGCCUUCUGGAUUCUAUCACUAAUAUCUUUGGGAGACGCUCUGUCUCUUCCUUCCCAGUCCCCCAGGACAAUGUGGAUACUCAUCCUGGUUCUGGUAAAGAAGUGAGGGUACCAACUACUGCCUUGUGUGUGUUCGAUGCACAUGAUGGGGAAGUCAAUGCUGUGCAGUUCAGUCCAGGUUCCCGGUUACUGGCCACCGGAGGCAUGGACCGCAGGGUUAAGCUUUGGGAAGUAUUUGGAGAAAAAUGUGAGUUCAAGGGUUCCCUAUCUGGCAGUAAUGCAGGAAUUACAAGCAUUGAAUUUGAUAGUGCUGGAUCUUACCUCUUAGCAGCUUCAAAUGAUUUUGCAAGCCGAAUCUGGACUGUGGAUGAUUAUCGGUUACGGCACACACUCACGGGACACAGUGGGAAAGUGCUGUCUGCUAAGUUCCUGCUGGACAAUGCGCGGAUUGUCUCAGGAAGUCACGACCGGACUCUCAAACUCUGGGAUCUACGCAGCAAAGUCUGUGAGGAAAUUCAGUCUCUCUGUCUGUGUGUAUGCUUAGAUGUUAGUGUGGAGGUGUGUGUUUGCACGUCAGAGCCUGCAUUUAUGUAAUAUAGUUUGAAUUUCAGAUCUGGCUUCAUGUUUAGAGGGGCACUGAGAGUAGUGAUAGUUUUUCUUGUUUAAAGCUUCAUUUAAGUGAGUAACUCUGACAAGUCCGUGGUUAGAGGGUAGCAGCAUUAUGUAAACAGCCACGUUGGUGCCUCUGCUUGAUUAAUGAUGUUUGCAUUUCUUGCAGGCAUAAAGACAGUGUUUGCAGGAUCCAGUUGCAAUGAUAUUGUCUGCACAGAGCAAUGUGUAAUGAGUGGACAUUUUGACAAGAAAAUUCGUUUCUGGGACAUUCGAUCAGAGAGCAUAGUUCGAGAGAUGGAGCUGUUGGGAAAGAUUACUGCCCUGGACUUAAACCCAGAAAGGACUGAGCUCCUGAGCUGCUCCCGUGAUGACUUGCUAAAAGUUAUCGAUCUCCGAACAAAUGCUAUCAAGCAGACGUUCAGUGCACCUGGGUUCAAGUGUGGCUCUGACUGGACCAGAGUUGUCUUCAGCCCUGAUGGCAGUUACGUGGCGGCAGGCUCUGCUGAGGGCUCUCUCUAUAUCUGGAGUGUGCUCACAGGGAAAGUGGAAAAGGUUCUUUCAAAGCAGCACAGCUCAUCCAUCAAUGCGGUGGCGUGGUCGCCCUCUGGCUUGCACGUUGUCAGUGUGGACAAAGGAUGCAAAGCUGUGCUGUGGGCACAGUAUUGACGGGGCUCUCAGGGCUGGGAGGACCCCAGUGCCCUCCUCAGAAGAAGCACGUGGGCUCCUGCAGCCCUGUCCUGGCAGGUGAUGUGCUGGGUAUAGCAUGGACCUCCCAGAGAAGCUCAAGCUAUGUGGCACUGUAGCUUUGCCAUGAACGGGAUUUCUGAAGAUUUGACUGAGGUCUCUCUUGGCCUGGAAGAAGAACACUGAAAAAACCUGACGCUGCGGUCACUUAGCAGAGGCUCAGGUUCUUGCCUUGGGAAACACUACUAGCUCUGACCUUCCAUACCUCACUUGGGGGAGCACAGGGCCCCGCUGGGCCUUCUCACCAACGGCAGUGCCAAAAACAGCCCCCACAUCAAGGUGGUGUUCUCUGUGCUUUCUCUCGUCCUUCCAAAGUCGGUUCUGGCCUAACGCAUGUCCCAACACCUUGGGGUCGUUUGCCCAGUGAACUCACUUUAAGCAUUGGAUUAACGGAAACUCCCAGACUACAGACCCCUCCCUGGUGGGUUGCAUGAAUGUGUCUCAUUACUGCUGAAAUGUCCUCACAUCUCUUCCACUGUUCUUCAGAGCUUUCUGGCUCUCUUUCCCCCACAAGAUUCGACAUAUUUAAAAAUCUCUGGCUUUAAAAAAUGGUUUUUUGUUUUUUUGAGGUGGGAGAGGAUGUGUGAACAUCUUUUCCACAGAAAUGGGUUUGCUGCAGAGGUAAGGAUGUGUUCCUGUAUCGAUCUGCAGACACCCAGAAGGUGGGUGCACACUGCAUGCUUAGGGGUGCCAAGGGAUUCGAGACCUCCAACAUAUUUGUCUGAAGCUGGUGAUUCUGGCCACGGCCCCUCUGCCAAGCCUGUGUGUGAUGCCCUUGGUUCUUUAGUGCAAGAAGCCUAGGCUCAGAAGCACAGCAGCGCCAUCUCUCCGUUUCAGGGGUUGUGAUGAAGGCCAAGGAAAAACAUUUAUCUUUACCAUUUUACCUGUGUAUAAAGUUUUAGUUCAUUGGGUGUGUGAAACACCCUUUUUAUCACUUUUAAAUUUGCACUUUAUUUUUUUCUUCCAUGCUUGUUCUCUGGACAUUUGGGGAUGUGAGUGCUAGAGCCGGUGAGAGAGGAGUCAGGCGGCCUUCCCACCGAUGGUCCUGGCCUCCACCUGCCUUCUCUUUCCUGCCUGAUCACCGCUUUCCAAUUUGCCCUUCAGAGAACUUAAGUCAAGGAGAGUUGACAUUCACACGCCAGGGCACAUCUUUUAUUUAUUUCAUUAUGUUGGCCAACAGAACUUGAUUGUAAAUAAUAAUAAAGAAAUCUGUUAUAUACUUUUC
rnacentral:sRNA from 1 species